UCCUUGGUGGUCCAGUGGCUAAGAUUCUGCACUCCCAAUGCAGGGGGCCUAGGUUCGAUCCCAGUCAGGGAA
rfam:TPA: Bos taurus chromosome 13, whole genome shotgun sequence.